rnacentral:rRNA from 1 species
AUGGUCGAGGAGAUGGGAAACGGAGCCCAUGAACAUGCCUUACAACAAUGGCGCCUCAGUGACACAUAG